CUCAGGACCACUGUCUGUUGUGGGGCCUGAGGACAGGCCAGCCCAUGGAGAGGGUGCUCCACUCCCCAGCAUGCACAUCCUGAGCAGGCCCCAGAGCCCGAGAGGUGGAUGACCUAUGUCUGGGGUCUAGCUUCCAGGUCUGGGUUCUGGUUAUUUCUGAUUUUUCUCAGAAAAAUACAGAGGUUGUAGAGCAGGGUUCAGGAGAAUAAAGAAUCGCAGGUAUUUCAAGGGAGCAAACUGAGGGAGCCCAUUCCCUAGAGGAAUGAGGUUGCUUUUUGGGAGUUUGACCAUAAAAUUGACACAUAGAAAUCAAAGCAGACAAAGGCCAAGCCAUGCUAAAAAGAGACAGAAUGGGGCCCAGGCCAGUGAGACCUGCGUAUCUAAAGGAAAAGAUGCCAGUCAGAAGGGGUCAGGUCUGCAGCAGAGAAGUAGAAAAGAGCCAGUCCUAGGCACACGGCCACACCCAUCCCACACUGCCUGGGGAAAGGGAUUCCAGUGUCCCCACUGGCAAUGGCAUGUCUCUGUUGGGGAGGUGCAUGCCUCCCACUUUUGUAGCCUGAGAUUUUCAAUCAUUUGCACUCAGUAAGGAAAGGCUCUGGUUCUGAGCCCAGAAGCCCAGGCCUGGCUCCUUAAGCAUUGUGCCUACAGGAAAGGGAGGGACUGCAUGUAGGGACGAGAGAGCAGCCAGCUGCUCACCACUUUUCCUGUGAAUGAACAAAGCCACUGUAUUAGUCCGUUUUCACACUGCUGAUAAAGAAAUACCCAAGAAUGGGUAUUCACAAAGGAAAUUCACAAAGGAAAGAGGUUUAAUGGACUUACAGUUCCACGUAGCUGGGGAAGCCUCACAAUCAUGGUGGAAGGCAAGGAGGAGCAAGUCACAUCUUAUGUGGAUUGCAGCAGGCAAAGAGAGCUUGUGCAGGGAAACUCCCAUUUUAAAAACCAUCAGAUCUUGUGAGAUUCAUUCACUAUCAUGAGAACAGGGCAGGAAAGAACGGCCCCCAUAAUUCAAUCACCUCCUACCAGGUUCCUCCCGCAACACACGGGAAUUGUGGAAGUUACAAUUAAAGAUGAGAUUUGGGUGGGGACACAGCCAAACCGUAUCAUCCUUCUGGUUUGAUACAGUGUGAGCUAAUGUUGCAUGAAUUCCUCCCUUCAUCACCGUGAGACCACCUCUCACGGAUGAAAUAUAAUCAGGAGAGAACCUAGAGGGGGUGAGGCCAUCAGGUGAAUACCAUUCCUUGGGAUCCACCGGCCUCCCCAGAGGGGUCCUUGGCUUUGUCAGAAGCCUCACCCCUUUCUUUUAACUUCCUGAGCUGUGCUGUCCAAUAUGGUGGCCACUGGCCCCAUGUGGUUGUCGAGCACUUGAAAUGUGGUCAGUCUAAACUGGCAUGUGGUGUACAUGUGAAAUACAUAUAAAAUUCUGAAGACUUGAUGUGAAAAAAAAUGAAGAAUAUCUCAUUAAUAAUUCUCUGUACUGAUUGCACAUUGAAAUAAUAUUGUGGAUAUAUUGGGUCAAAUAAACAAUAUUAUUAAAAUUAAUCUCACCUGCUUCUUUUUACCUUUGAUCCUACCCCAAGGCCUGCCAGAAUGAAAAUAAAGAACAAAGACAACAAAGAAAACAGCCGACAGGAACAGGAUCUUGGGAGCCAAAUAUCAGGGUCUCACUCUGUCACCCUGGCUAGAGUGCAGUGGUGCAAUCUCAACUCACUGCAGUGUCAACCUUCUGGGCUCGAGUGAUCCUCCCACCUCAGCCUCCUGAGUAACUGGGACCACAGGUGCAUACUACCACACCUGGCUAAUUUUUGUAUUUUUCGUAGAGACGGGGUUUUGCUAUGUUCCCCAGGCUGGUCGUGAACUCCUGAACUCAAGCAAUCCCCCUGCCUUGGCCUCCCAGAGUGUUGGGAUUACAGGCGUGAGACACCAUGCCCGGCCUGGGCUCCCAAGUUUUUACUUUGCUUUCACGUUCCCUGGAGUCUUCAGAGGGAGCAUGGCUCUGUUGACACCGUGAUUUCUGACUUUUGGCCUCCAGAACUGCGGGACAAUACAUGUCUGUUGUUUAAAGCCACCCAGUUUGUGAUAAUUACAGCAGCCCUAGGAAGCAAUAUACUUAGUAUGGAAAAACAAUGUGAAAUUUCUCAUUAGUAAUUUUUUAUGUGAAUUAAAUGAUUGAUUUGAUAAUAUUCAUUUGGGUUAAUACAAAUAUAUUGGAUUAAAUAAAAUAUAGUAUUAAAAUGAAUCUCACUUUUUUUUUUUUACUUCUUACAAAAUAUGGUGAUUAGAAAACACUAGGUUGCAUGGGUGACUUAUUUAUGGCUUGC
rnacentral:lncRNA from 1 species